CGUAACAAGGUUUCCGUAGGUGAACCUGCGGAAGGAUCAUUACAUUCAGUAGCUUGCUACUGUUAGGGAGGCCGGUUAGUCUGUAUAGUAUCACUACUGAUGAGCAGCACGGCCUUCUGUCUGUACCCUUGUCUUUUGCGCACUCAUGUUUCCUCGGCUGGGUUUACGCCCGCCGGCUGGACAACUCUAUAACCUUUUUAAUUUUCAAUCAGCGUCUGAAAAACUUAAUAAUUACAACUUUCAACAACGGAUCUCUUGGUUCUGGCAUCGAUGAAGAACGCAGCGAAAUGCGAUAAGUAGUGUGAAUUGCAGAAUUCAGUGAAUCAUCGAAUCUUUGAACGCACAUUGCGCCCCUUGGUAUUCCAUGGGGCAUGCCUGUUCGAGCGUCAUUUGUACCCUCAAGCUCUGCUUGGUGUUGGGUGUUUGUCCACUCCCUGGUGUUUGGACUCGCCUUAAAGCAAUUGGCAGCCAGUGUUUUGGUAUUGAAGCGCAGCACAAUUUGCGACUCUAGCCUAGAAUACUUGCGUCCAGUAAGCCUUUUUCCACUUUUGACCUCGGAUCAGGUAGGGAUACCCGCUGAACUUAAGCAUAUCAAUAAGCGGAGGAAAAGAAACCAACAGGGAUUGCCCUAGUAACGGCG
rnacentral:misc_RNA from 1 species